rnacentral:tRNA from 1 species
GGCGAGUCUGGCGCAGGUGAUGGCGCCGGUGCUGGACGUGUCGGCGGGGACGGCGGCGUUGCAGUUCGCGUCGUUCAGUUUCGACGCUUCGGUGC